rnacentral:lncRNA from 1 species
AGGUGUCGGUGCCAUGGGUAGGCCCACCGGCGCAUGGACGGCACCUGGCGGGAGGAAAGCGACCAGAUGUGCGGCGCAGCAGCAGCCAGCAGGUCAGAAUUCAGAGCACACCUGCUAUUAUUCUCCUCUUCUUUGCAGCAAAAUAAAAGGAAAUCGGGCAAAGCAAAGGUUAACUUUUUUUUGAAACAGGAGGGUUUCAACUUGCAGAGAAUCAGAUCCGUUUGUCUGCUGUUGGAUACAGAAACUGUUCUGUGCACAUAGAAAAAAGUUCACUAUGCUAAAAUGCAGUGAGCCAUGUUAGUACAGAAUUUCAUCUUGCC